rfam:Angiostrongylus cantonensis strain Taiwan genome assembly, scaffold: ACAC_contig0001669
GCCCCGUUAGCUGAGUUGGUAGUGCGUUAGGCUUUUAAUCUAACGCUCUGUGGUUCUAAUCCCCUACGGGGCU